rnacentral:tRNA from 1 species
UCCCGCGUGGCUCAGUUGGUAGAGCAUGGUGUUUGCAAUGCCAGGGUUGUGGGUUCAACUCCCAUGUGGGGA